CCCAGAUCACCGAAGCAGCAGGAUGUGAGCUGCCCCAGCUGAAAAAGUUCGGAACCAAGUUUAAGGGGUUUCAGCAAUAAUUCUGAAAGCUUGCAACUCCUGAACUACUGUAUUCUGAAACGAUUGGGUUAGAGAAGACACCAUAGAACUGAGCACAUCUCCAGUAUGAGAUUGACAGGUAUUCCUGGAGACAAUAGUCUGAAUGUGCCAUGUCCCUGUCUCUCUCCGAUGCCCAUUUCUCACAGCAGACCAAGCCAUGACAACCAUUUUGUGUGCUGUCGGGGAGAGGAGGUAAGCGUCCUAGACAACCGAAUCAAUUGGCUUUUCAAAGGCAGUACUGGACAAAGCCGGUUACUCUA